rnacentral:rRNA from 1 species
AUGGCAGGGACGGUGACUGUGCCCGGAUCGUCGGUGCCAUCGACGCCGCUGCUCAAGGACGAGCUGGACAUCGUGAUCCCGACCAUCCGCAAUCUCGACUUCCUCGAGAUGUGGCGCCCCUUCUUCCAGCCGUACCACCUCAUCAUCGUCCAGGACGGCGACCCCAGCAAGGUCAUCAAGGUUCCCGAGGGCUUCGACUACGAGCUCUACAACCGCAACGACAUCAACCGCAUUCUUGGCCCCAAGGCCUCAUGCAUCUCCUUCAAGGACUCCGCGUGCCGCUGCUUCGGCUACAUGGUCUCGAAGAAGAAGUACGUCUUCACCAUCGACGACGACUGCUUCGUGGCCAAGGACCCAUCUGGCAAAGACAUCAAUGCUCUUGAGCAGCACAUCAAGAACCUCCUCAGCCCGUCCACACCGUUUUUCUUCAACACCUUGUAUGACCCCUACCGUGAAGGCGCGGACUUUGUCCGUGGAUACCCCUUCAGCCUUAGGGAGGGUGCCCCCACCGCGGUCUCUCAUGGCCUUUGGCUGAACAUCCCUGACUAUGAUGCACCCACACAGAUGGUCAAGCCUCGUGAGAGGAACAGCAGGUAUGUUGAUGCCGUCCUGACUAUUCCCAAGGGAACACUGUUCCCCAUGUGUGGCAUGAACCUCGCCUUUGACCGUCAGCUCAUUGGCCCUGCAAUGUACUUUGGCCUCAUGGGUGAUGGCCAGCCUAUUGGUCGCUACGAUGAUAUGUGGGCUGGAUGGUGCGUCAAGGUAUGUAUUUAUUUAACUGAACUACAACUUGUAUUUACACUUAACUUUAGAAAUGAAAUCUUUUCAUCUCAAAAAAAAAAAGGAACUGAAGAAAUGAAACUGAUACAACUGUGUAAACUUCAGGUCAUCUGCGACCACUUGAGCCUUGGAGUGAAGACUGGCCUGCCAUACCUGUGGCACAGCAAGGCUAGCAACCCAUUUGUCAACUUGAAGAAAGAGUACAAGGGCAUCUUCUGGCAGGAGGACAUCAUCCCCUUCUUCCAGAACGCCACCCUCUCCAAGGAGUGUGACACAGUCCAGAAGUGCUACAUCUCACUCUCGGAGCAGGUCAAGGAGAAGCUUGGCAAGAUUGACCCUUACUUCGUGAAGCUUGCUGAUGCCAUGGUCACCUGGAUCGAGGCCUGGGACGAGCUGAACCCAUCUGAUGCUGUCGUUGCUGCUGGGAACGGCAAGGCAGCAGCCAAGUAG